rnacentral:rRNA from 1 species
UACGAAGGGGGCUAGCGUUGUUCGGAAUUACUGGGCGUAAAGCGCACGUAGGCGGACUAUUAAGUCAGGGGUGAAAUCCCGGGGCUCAACCCCGGAACUGCCUUUGAUACUGGUAGUCUCGAGUCCGGAAGAGGUGAGUGGAAUUCCGAGUGUAGAGGUGAAAUUCGUAGAUAUUCGGAGGAACACCAGUGGCGAAGGCGGCUCACUGGCUCGGUACUGACGCUGAGGUGCGAAAGCGUGGGGAGCAAACAGG